UACAGCCACAUCAGUUUGAAACACCCAUUCCUGUACAAUCACCAAAGUUAAGCUAUGUUGAGCCUGGUCAUUACCUAGAUGGGUGAUCGUUUGGGAAUAUCAAGUGC